CCUACGGGAGACAGCAGUGAGGAAUAUUGGUCAAUGGACGAGAGUCUGAACCAGCCAAGUAGCGUGAAGGAUGACUGCCCUAUGGGUUGUAAACUUCUUUUAUAUGGGAAUAAAAUGUUCCACGUGUGGGAUUUUGUAUGUACCAUAUGAAUAAGGAUCGGCUAACUCCGUGCCAGCAGCCGCGGUAAUACGGAGGAUCCGAGCGUUAUCCGGAUUUAUUGGGUGUAAAGGGAGCGUAGGUGGAUUGUUAAGUCAGUUGUGAAAGUUUGCGGCUCAACCGUAAAAUUGCAGUUGAAACUGGCAGUCUUGAGUACAGUAGAGGUGAGCGGAAUUCGUGGUGUAGCGGUGAAAUGCUUAGAUAUCACGAAGAACUCCGAUUGCGAAGGCAGUUCACUGGACUGCAACUGACACUGAGGCUCGAAAGUGUGGGUAUCAAACAGGAUUAGAUACCCUAGUAGUC
rnacentral:rRNA from 1 species